rnacentral:misc_RNA from 1 species
AAGUCGUAACAAGGUUUCCGUAGGUGAACCUGCGGAAGGAUCAUUAGAGAUUUGCCGCGAGGCGAUUUUGUUCCACACACACUUGUGAACCGGGCGCGAGCCCACGUUUUUAACGUCCUGUGAAGAAUGUGAAACUGUAACAUGAGAAAACUUUCAACAACGGAUCUCUUGGCUCUC